rnacentral:rRNA from 1 species
ACUCCUACGGGAGGCAGCAGUGGGGAAUUUUGGACAAUGGGGGCAACCCUGAUCCAGCAAUGCCGCGUGAGUGAAGAAGGCCUUCGGGUCGUAAAGCUCUUUUGUCAGGGAAGAAACGGUGGUGGCGAAUAACUACUACUAAUGACGGUACCUGAAGAAUAAGCACCGGCUAACUACGUGCCAGCAGCCGCGGUAAUACGUAGGGUGCAAGCGUUAAUCGGAAUUACUGGGCGUAAAGCGUGCGCAGGCGGUUGUGUAAGUCAGAUGUGAAAUCCCCGGGCUCAACCUGGGAAUUGCAUUUGAGACUGCACGGCUAGAGUGUGUCAGAGGGGGGUAGAAUUCCACGUGUAGCAGUGAAAUGCGUAGAUAUGUGGAGGAAUACCGAUGGCGAAGGCAGCCCCCUGGGAUAACACUGACGCUCAUGCACGAAAGCGUGGGGAGCAAACAGGAUUAGAAACCCGUGUAGUCCCAUGAU